GUAGGUGGCAAGCGUUGUCCGGAAUUAUUGGGCGUAAAGCGCGCGCAGGCGGUUCUUUAAGUCUGAUGUGAAAGCCCACGGCUCAACCGUGGAGGGUCAUUGGAAACUGGAGAACUUGAGUACAGAAGAGGAAAGCGGAAUUCCACGUGUAGCGGUGAAAUGCGUAGAGAUGUGGAGGAGCACCAGUGGCGAAGGCGGCUUUCUGGUCUGUAACUGACGCUGAGGCGCGAAAGCGUGGGGGAGCAAACAGGAUUAGAUACCCUGGUAGUCCACGCCGUAAACGAUGAGUGCUAAGUGUUAGGGGGUUUCCGCCCCUUAGUGCUGCAGCUAACGCAUUAAGCACUCCGCCUGGGAGUACGGCCGCAAGGCUA
rnacentral:rRNA from 1 species